AUCCAGCUGACGUGUCCUAAAUAGGACAAAACGCGCGUCAAAUUGGAU
rnacentral:hammerhead_ribozyme from 1 species